UACUAUGGUCAUGCUACCCUGAACCUGCUAGAUCUCGUCUGAUCUCGGAAGCUAAGCAGGGUCGGGCCUGAUUAAUAGUUGGAUAGGAGACCACCUAGGAAUAUCAGGUGCUGUAGGCG
rnacentral:rRNA from 1 species